rnacentral:pre_miRNA from 1 species
AGUGUAAUUGCUGGUUUGUAUGGUAAGUGUAUGUUUAUUUUUUAAAGAAAUUGCCCAACUGUUUUUCAGAGUGGCUGUACCAUUUUAUGUUUCAACUAGCAAU